GCGCCCCUUCCGCUCUAGCCUGCCCAGUCGGCUACGGGCUCGAGUGGUCCCGGACGACCGCGGUGCCGCCGAGCGCCUUCCGGGAAAUGGUUCUUCACCCAGCCCGGGCUCUCGCUUCCGCUUACGAUGGGCUGGAGCACACAGGCCAGGGAGGAGAAGAAAGGACCCCAAAAGUUGCAAAAACUUUCUGGGUUCCUGAAGAAUCUGCACUGCGAGUGAAAGGAAGAUUUAGAAGCGAAAUGACAUCCAACCCUAAUCAGUCCUAACUGCUUAGCUUUCUGAGAUCAGAUGGGAAAUGGAAAUUUAUUUUCUUACCUACGGGAACACAAGUGAAGCAACGUGGUUUAAAUUACUGGAUAAACUUUACAUUUGUCUAUGACCCCUUAUUAAAAUGUUUGCAAACUAUAUAACUGCUCUAUAUCCUAAAACAAAAUCUUAUAAACCCAAAGUUUAGGAUGACAACCUAGACUACAGAAAUUAAAAAUCAAACUGUCAGUCUCAAAUUCUGGCUCCAUAUCUUCUCAGCUGUGUGGUCUUCUGGGAAAAUGUCUUUACCUCUUGAAGCUUCAGAUUCCUUAGCUCUAAAGUAAGGGUUAAAAAUGCUUUCAUAAGGAUUAAAACAGAAAAUAUACAUAAAGCAAUUAGCUUAGUGUCUA